GCUGGUGUACGCUGAGGUUAAGGGGCUGAAGGCGGGGAAGGGGGCACUCGAGUGUGCGGUGUGCCUCAGCGAGUUCGAGGACGACGAGGAGCUCCGCCUCCUCCCUCGCUGCAGCCACGUCUUCCACUCCGACUGCAUUGACGCCUGGCUCGCCUCCCACGUCACUUGCCCCGUCUGCCGCGCCAACCUCGCCGAGCAAGCCGCCGACGACAACCCCGACCUGCUACCUGUAGCCACCCCUUCUACAGACGCGGCGGGUCUAC
rnacentral:lncRNA from 1 species